AGCCUUGGCUCACAUAGUAACUCUCUUCCUUUCUACGUUACUGGAUGAAAAAAAAAUCAUGGAACACACAUACAGCCUAGCGGCAGUCUAUCCACAGCUGAGCAAGGACUAAACCUUUGUUGUUGGAAGCCACUCAGAUCACAGUCUUUGUUGCUACAGCCAAGCGGACUAGUACGGAGAGGAACCUAAAAGUCUUUAACAAGAAGCAGUCCAUGGACGUAGCUGCAAAAGUACAAAAGCUAUAAUCUAAGGAGGAGAUUGUGAUUAGAAGCCCGGAAAUAGGGUCAGGCACUGAGGAAUGGGAACUUGGGCUUCGUUUGGUAAAUUCUCCAAAUUCUGCCAAACAUUCUAUUUUCUACUAUAUGAUACACUGGUUACAAGCAGGAGAUCUGAAGCCAGGAUGAAGUCCCAACUCCUUAACAAAGCAUAAACCAUACUGACUCCUGGCAUCUUCCCUUAUGGAUGCAACCAGUGCAAUUGUGAUAAUAGCUCUUCCUGGGUUGAACUUCUUGUGAAAUCUCCUCAUAAGUCAGAGAUUUUGGGUUGGUUCGUCUGGAGUGGAACCCUCCUCUCCUGAAGUGAUUCCAGUGUAGAAGGUAGGGGAAGCCCAAUGGAAGGGACAGAGACCAAAAGUGACAGGCAGCAUUAUUCGAUGUCAAUUAAU